GUGCUCACUGUGGUAGCACAUAUAUUAAAACUGGAAUGAUACAUAAAAUAUUAGCAUGGCCCCUACACAAGAACAACAUGCAUGUUCAUUAAGAGUUCUGUAGUUUU